rnacentral:rRNA from 1 species
GUUGAACGCUGGCGGCAUGCUUUACACAUGCAAGUCGAACGGUAACAGGGAGCUUGCUCCGCUGACGAGUGGUGAACGGGUGAGUAAUGCGUCGGAACGUGCCGAGUAGUGGGGGAUAACGCAUCGAAAGGUGUGCUAAUACCGCAUACGAACUGAGGUUGAAAGUGGGGGACCUUCGGGCCUCACGCUAUUCGAGCGGCCGACGUCUGAUUAGCUAGUUGGUGAGGUAAAGGCUCACCAAGGCGACGAUCAGUAGCGGGUCUGAGAGGAUGAUCCGCCACACUGGGACUGAGACACGGCCCAGACUCCUACGGGAGGCAGCAGUGGGGAAUUUUGGACAAUGGGCGCAAGCCUGAUCCAGCCAUGCCGCGUGUCUGAAGAAGGCCUUCGGGUUGUAAAGGACUUUUGUCCGGGAGCAAAUGCUGGUGGCUAACAUCCACCGGAGCUGAGAGUACCGGAAGAAUAAGCACCGGCUAACUACGUGCCAGCCGCCGCGGUAACAC